rnacentral:rRNA from 1 species
UACGUAGGGGGCUAGCGUUGUCCGGAAUCAUUGGGCGUAAAGAGCGUGUAGGCUGCUCGGUAAGUCCGCUGUAAAAGUCAAAGGCUCAACCUUUGAAUGUCAGUGGAUACUGCCGGGCUAGAGUCCGGAAGAGGCGAGUGGAACUCCUGGUGUAGCGGUGGAAUGCGCAGAUAUCAGGAAGAACACCAACGGCGAAGGCAGCUCGCUGGGACGGUACUGACGCUGAGAC